CGGAGCGUGUGGUUUAAUUCGAUGCAACACGAAGAACCUUACCAGGGCUUGACAUGUUGGAAGUAGUGAACCGAAAGGGGAACGACCUGUUAAAUCAGGAGCCUUCACAGGUGCUGCAUGGCUGUCGUCAGCUCGUGCCGUGAGGUGUUGGGUUAAGUCCCCCAACGAGCGCAACCCUCGUUGCCAGUUAAUUUCUCUGGCGAGACUGCCCGCAAAACCGGGAGGAAGGUGGGAUGACGUCAAGUCAGCAUGGUCCUUAUGUCCUGGGCCACACACACGCUACAAUGGGUGGUACAGAGGGUAGCAAUGGGGCGACUCGGAGCUAAUCCCAAAAAGCCAUCCUCAGUUCGGAUUGCAGGCUGAAAUUCGCCUGCAUGAAGGCGGAGUUGCUAGUAACCGCAGGUCAGCAUACUGCGGUGAAUACGUUCUCGGGCCUU
rnacentral:rRNA from 1 species